rnacentral:rRNA from 1 species
UACGGAGGGGGCUAGCGUUGUUCGGAAUUACUGGGCGUAAGGCGCACGUAGGCGGCUUUGUAAGUUAGAGGUGAAAGCCCGGGGCUCAACUCCGGAAUUGCCUUUAAGACUGCAUCGCUAGAAUUGUGGAGAGGUAAGUGGAAUUCCGAGUGUAGAGGUGAAAUUCGUAGAUAUUCGGAAGAACACCAGUGGCGAAGGCGACUUACUGGACACAUAUUGACGCUGAGGUGCGAAAGCGUGGGGAGCAAACAGG